AGCCCAGGAACGGCCCACAAAGGAGUAGGCUGUCCCUCUGCAGCCCCUGAGUACCUUGCGGAGCAGAUCUCCCCGUGAAGCUACGGAGGAGCCGGCGGGGCAGCCAUGAAUGAGGCCUGAAGGAGGCACAGCCCUGGGUACCCCCGCGGGAGCGGCCCGGGCCGGAGCUGCCGCCCGUGAGGACCGGUGUAGAGCAGUGCCUGAAAGGUGGGCACCGUGGUACGGAGCCCUGUUGGAGCAGUGCUGGGAGAGCUGCAGUCUGUGGGAAACCCACGCAGGAUCAGUUCAGGAAGGACGGCACGCUGUGGGAGGGAUCCACGUGGAGAGGAGGCAGAGAGAGACCAUGGAGGAGCAGCAGAGACCAAGUGUUACAGACUGACCACUGCCACAUUCCUCAUUACCCUGCGCCACUUGUAGGAAUGAGGUGGGGAUGUCUUUGCAGUGCCACACCUGCAGAGAAUGGGAGGGAGUGAAGGCACUCAGUGGCAUGUGAUACUUACCUAAUAAGACUAUGUGAAACACUAAAGUCUUGAAGAUUCAGGUCGGUACUCCAGAAGUGAAUUUUAUCUUUUAUCGUGCUUUCAUAUAAGUAAGUAUGUAAAUAAUUUCUAUGUGAAUAUUCCUCUAUUAUUAACUUGAAGAAGAGGGAAUUAAUGAAUAAUUGUCAUAUAUUUGUAUAAAAUAUGUAAUGUUUCUGAGUAAUUUUCUUUGAGAACAUUUAAUAGAUACAAAAUAAAAUAGUGUAGUUCACUUUUGGUUCUUAGAAGUUCUGUCAGAAGCAUUCAAUUCACAUACCGGAUAUUAAAAAGAAGUAGAUGAAUACUUACAGCUAGAAUUUAAUACUGCACUAGAUCAUGAUUUAUUUUCUAAUUAACACAGUUUAAUUUACUGUUAGCUUUAUUUCCAAAAAUGAAAAAUAUUUAUCCUUGCCUUUUACACCAAUAGCUGAUUGAUGACUUGUAUUAGAUGUCUAUUGUAAGUUAUGACUGUUUUUUUUUUUUUCCUAAUCGAUUACAGUACUGUUAAGGAUGAGUUGUAUAAUACUUCAUAUAAUAUCAUUUUCCACCAAGAUCUGGCUCAUUUCUGUGUACUGAACAGGUUUUUGGAAAUGUGUUAAUAUACAGAAGGAAUUAAUAGUGCUCAGCAAUUCAUUGUUCUUCCUUCCUUUCCUCUCUUUUUUUUUUUUUUUUUUCUCUUUUCAUCUGUUGAAUUUUAUAUCAAAUAGUUACUAACUCUUACUAAACUGUAGCAUCAUUUCUGAAAUUGUCAGUAACAGAAAUUGUGAAUUUGGUAUAACUAUGACUUGCUAAUUUGUAGUAGCAAUAGAAUUCCUAUAUUGUCUAUGUUGGACAUCAGUUCAACUCUACAAUCCUUUCAUUUUUUGAAUUGUGAAAAUGUAUUGUGAAACGUAUAGAAUAAAGUACAAACUGGAUUACACUCA